rnacentral:rRNA from 1 species
CACGUAGGCGGAUUGGAAAGUUGGGGUGAAAUCCCGGGGCUCAACCCCGGAACUGCCUCCAAAACUUCCAGUCUGGAGGUCGAGAGAGGUGAGUGGAAUUCCGAGUGUAGAGGUGAAAUUCGUAGAUAUUCGGAGGAACACCAGUGGCGAAGGCGGCUCACUGGCUCGAUACUGACGCUUAAGCACGAAAGCAUGGGUAGCGAACA